ACCGCCGGCCUCCUCUUCAUCCUCCCGCGUCCUCCCGGGCUCGCGCCGCUGUCACUGGAGCCCGCAUCCUCCGCCUCCCGCCGCCGCCGCGACCCCGCACCGGGAACCAAGCCGGCGCGGAAAACCGCAAGCUUGACUCCACGCCCACCUGACUGGACUCAGAAAACCGAAGAAGUUAGUGAGGGUACAGCAAUAAAUAGGGUAUACGGGAGAAUUGGCCUGAGAUUUCUCUCAGAGGACCAGCCAUGGAGCAAGGCCAGGAUGAACAGGAGGAGCAGAAUUUGAAACAGUAGCAUGCCGGUCCUGCGCCCCGUGAAGGAUGACUCGCCAGAAAGCAAAGGCGCAGCCCUACCUCCGCGAGCUUGGCGCGUGGCCCAGGAGGCUCCGCGAGCCCUUGUACGUAAGGAUCGUGGCGCCCACGCUUGAGAGCAGAGCUCAGUGCAAACUUCCAACAGUUCUUCCAGUUUCCAGGGAAACAAGAUUUGGAGCUGCUGCGUGUUGCAGAGCUGCCUCUCUGCUCCCCACAUGGGACCCCUGUGGCUGGCUGGUCUUGGGGAGGAAGGAAUUAAAGCCACCUCAUCCAUGAAGGGUGAGGUCCGAUCUUAAGAUGGAAGAAUUGAGCGGGGCUGUGGGGGUAUGUUCUACCCUCAGAGCACUCGGUAGAAGUGCUGUUUUGGGUUGCUUCUCCUCUAGAUGGGCACUGCCACCCCCUUACAAUCUUUCCAUUUCUAUACUCACCACAGGGCCCAUGAACGCGGUGUUUCCCCUUUUAGGGUAUAUUCACACUCCAUAAUGAUUCUCACCUGAUAUUGCCUCUUCAUUUCUCAAAUUGUAUUAUCAUAUUUCUUAAUUGCCUCAGUUUUGUCGGAAGGAAGCUUGUCUGACACGAUGCAUCCAGGCACUUUCUUUUACUCAUUUCUCAGGACAACCUUCGAGGUAGGACCUCUCUUAUCCCCAGUAGGACUUUCCAUAAGUAAAUCAGUGACUGGAAUUGGAACAGAAACCCAGGCUCUGUGUGCAGGCUAUGCUUCCCCAGCUGCCUGCCUUCCUGAUUCCAACCCCUGCACCCCUGCAGAGGGUCCCCACGGUGCAGGAUUUCCCGGUAUAUAAAUAAGUCCUACCUAUCAGGUGGGACUUGAAAUGGCCGGGUAAGGGCAGUCCCAACUAAUUUCUGGGGAUAGAUGAGUUUGUACAUGUGAAUGUGAUGCAACAAACGUCUAUCUAGUUCUUUGGGGCGCAUGGGGUCAGGAGCCUGCAAACAGGGGAGCUGUCUCUUCCGUGCUGGGGAUAAGGGAAGGAGCUGAGAGGGCUUACUUUCUUGGGCAGUAACAGGGAGAGGGCAACUCACUGAGGAGGAUCUUUAAGCUAAACCAAUUCAGUUUUCUUCUGAGGGCAGAGAUUUCAGGAGAGCAUCCUGGUGUGUAAUGAGAAGGAGCUCUGCUGCUUGGAAUCUAGGGGAGCUAGAGGAGCUCCCUCCCUAGACAGUGUAAAAUCACAGGUACUGGGAACCACCCUGCAGCUUCCACCCUGCAGCUUCCGCUCAGCAUUCCUUCUAAAAGGACAACGAGUCGGCAGAAAGUGGGAGGGGCAAUCUGUGUCCAGUGACAAUGAAACCAGGGAUGGCAUUGAAACUAACCCAUGUAGAAUUUUAGAGCAGAUUGAAUUUCUUUAUUUCAGGAUUCUUUCACCAAGGACGAGCUCACCAUGCUCUGUUGUGAGCCCUCCUCAACUUCCACUUGCAGAGCCAAGGAGGGGAUCAAGGGUAGCUGCAGUCUAUCUGCAGUCCAGUGACCUGGAGGGGUCAGAGGCAGGAAGGAGAGAGAGCAACUCCAGAAAGAACCAUACCAGCAAGGAAUAACUUUGCUACUUUUCCAGAAAAUCACAUCAUCAGCAACUGACCAAGUUCCUACAGAGCCUGGGCAGGUCUGGCAGCCUUCUGGGGGCAGAUCUGACUCUCCCACACUAAAAACAAGGAAGAGGCUCUACACCCAGAAAAGACAUGGCAGAAAUGCAACAGCAUAAUCCCAGCACUUGGGAGGCAGAGGCAGGGGAAUUUCUGAGUUCGAGGCCAGCCUGGUCUACAGAGAGCCAUCACCUGUGCAGUAAUAGUAUGCACAUUGUACAUCUCUAAUGAAAGGCAUUUCAACAUGAUUCCCUCUUGUCCUCCCUGGAACUCAUCAACUUAUGUGAAAACAGCACACAACAUCCGAAUCAGAGCAGCACCCUCUUGUCAGCGAUGGGAGCAAGCAUUCUGCUGAGUCAGAUGUAAUCAGGGUUUAUUCAUGUCCUAAUUUUGCAAUACUGUUGUCAGUGAGAGUUAGAAAAACAGUGGAUUUUGCAAGAAAUAGCAAGUCACAUUGAAGUUAUAAAAUAAAAAGCAGAUAAGUGCUCUCGUUUAAAAUGUUAUUUCCAAACUUGUAUAAGAAAAUGCUAAUGAAAUAUUUUCAAUUUUCAAAAUUGCAUUUAUUUGCUCAUUGUGCUGUGCAUUCGCGUGUGGGAAUGCAAGUGUAGUGGGGAAGUUGUAGAGGUCAGAGGACAACUGAGAACACUUGAUUUUCUCCUUCCACCUUGUGGGUCCAAGGGACCAAAUUAGGUCAUCGGUGCCUUUACCUGCUGAGCCAUUUCACUGGCUCAUUAAAUUGCUAAUAAAAAAUUUAUGUUAGCUCAAGUAAUGGCAUGGAUUUAAUAAGGUUAUAGAACCAUUUUUCACAUUUUGAUCCACCAAAACAAUACUUUCUCACAUUAUUUUACAUGUGAAACAAGUGAAAACAAAU